rnacentral:rRNA from 1 species
CCUACGGGAGGCAGCAGUGAGGAAUAUUGGUCAAUGGACGAAAGUCUGAACCAGCCAAGUCGCGUGAAGGAAGACUGCCCUAUGGGUUGUAAACUUCUUUUAUAAGGGAGUAAAACGAGGUACGUGUGCCUGUCUGCAUGUACCUUAUGAAUAAGGAUCGGCUAACUCCGUGCCAGCAGCCGCGGUAAUACGGAGGAUUCGAGCGUUAUCCGGAUUUAUUGGGUUUAAAGGGGGCGUAGAUGGGUUGUUAAGUUAGUGGUGAAAGCUUGCGGCUCAACCGUAAAAUUGCAUUUGAUACUGGCAGUCUUGAGUGCAGUUGAGGUAGGCGGAAUGCGUGGUGUAGCGGUGAAAUGCUUAGAUAUCACGAAGAACACCGAUUGCGAAGGCAGCUUACUAGACUGCCACUGACGUUGAGGCACGAAAGUGUGGGGAGCAAACAGGAUUAGAUACCCGUGUAGUC